UGAUGGUUGUACCGGUACAGAAAGUGUACCGAUUACACCUUGAUGGUUGUACCGGUUGUAACAUACCAGAUUUUGGUAUAAAAAUAAAAAUAAAUAAAAAUAGUGUGAGAAACUAUUUUUAUUGGAUUUGUAGAAGUAAAAUAUAAGUCAGAAGUGACUUAUGCUGAAAUCGGAAUGAAAACAGAAGAUCUAGAAUUUUCUGUUGGAAACGGGACAGAUAAAUUAGCAGAAAAUGCACAGUCUCAGAAAAUUAUGAAAAUUGGAGGAUAAGUCAGAAAUAUUUUUAUGAGGUUAGAUUUAAAGUUUCAUAUUUUUCUGACACCCGUAGAGUGAGAAAUAAAAUCCGACAGCUAUCUGAUAAAGAUUACAGUUCGGUACAGUUUUCGGUGACCAAACGGGGUCGAAACUGAAAACUUAAAAUAUAUUCUUACUCAGUACGUUAAACUGAGCCUGCCUGUCAAAUUUGAGCUCAAACGGACAUUCAGAAGGGCUCCAACUGUUCCGAACUGCAAAAACUGCCUGAAGUGAAUAGUGUUUUGGGGUGUAAUGUAUA
rnacentral:lncRNA from 1 species